GACGAACGCUGGCGGCGUGCUUAACACAUGCAAGUCGAACGGUAAGGCCUUGCUUGGUACACAAGCGACGGACGGGUGAGUAACACGCGGGUGAGCUGCCCUGCACUUCGUUAGAAGUCUGGGAGAGUGGGUCUAAUUACUGAUAUGACCGCCUCUCUCAUGGUGUGUGGUGUAAAGAUUUAUCGGUGAAGGAUGGGCCCGCGGCGUAUCAGCUUGUUGGUGGGGUAAUGUCCUCCAAAGGCGACGACGGGGAGCCGACCUGAGAGGGUGACCGGCCACACUGGGACUGGGACACGGCCCAGCCUCCUACGGGAGGCAGAAGUGGGGAAUAUUGCACAAUGGGCGAAAGCCUGAUGAAGCGCCGCCGCGUGAGGGAUGACGGCCUUCGGGUUGUAACCCUCUUUCAUCAGGAACGAAGCGCAAGUGACGGUACCUACAGAAGAAGCACCGGCUAACUACGUG
rnacentral:rRNA from 1 species